rnacentral:rRNA from 1 species
UACGUAGGGAGCGAGCGUUGUCCGGAAUCAUUGGGCGUAAAGAGCAUGUAGGUGGAUCAAUUAGUCUGCUGUGAAAGUCAAAGGCUCAACCUUUGAAAGCCGGUGGAUACUGUUGAUCUAGAGUACGGAAGAGGCGAGUGGAAUUCCUGGUGUAGCGGUGGAAUGCGCAGGUAUCAGGAGGAACACCAAUAGCGAAGGCAGCUCGCUGGGACGUUACUGACACUGAGAUGCGAAAGCGUGGGGAGCAAACAGG